rnacentral:rRNA from 1 species
CGCUGGCGGCGUGCUUCAUACAUGCAAGUCGAACGAGGAAUUCACUUCGGUGGAUGGAAAGUGGCGGACGGGUGAGUAAUAUGUAGAGAAUCUGCCCUAGAGAGGGGACAACAGAGGGAAACUUCUGCUAAUACCCCAUAUGAGCGUAGCUGAAAUGCUAUUCUUGAAAACUCCGGUGCUCUAGGAUGAGUCUGCAUCUGAUUAGCUAGUUGGGGUGUAAUGGACCACCAAGGCGACGAUCAGUAGCUGGUUUGAGAGGAUGAUCAGCCACAAUGGGACUGAGACACGGCCCAUACUCCUACGGGAGGCAGCAGUAGGGAAUUUUGCGCAAUGGGCGAAAGCCUGACGCAGCAACGCCGCGUGAUUGAUGAAGCCCUUCGGGGUGUAAAGAUCUGUCAGUGGGGACGAAACUUGACGGUACCCACAGAGGAAGCAUCGGCUAACUCCGUG